rnacentral:rRNA from 1 species
AACGAACGCUGGCGGCAUGCCUAACACAUGCAGGUCGAACGAGACCUUCGGGUCUAGUGGCGCACGGGUGCGUAACGCGUGGGAACCUGCCUUUAGGUUCGGAAUAACUCAGAGAAAUUUGAGCUAAUACCGGAUGAUGUCUUCGGACCAAAGAUUUAUCGCCUUUAGAUGGGCCCGCGUUGGAUUAGCUAGUUGGUGGGGUAAAGGCCUACCAAGGCGACGAUCCAUAGCUGGUCUGAGAGGAUGAUCAGCCACACUGGGACUGAGACACGGCCCAGACUCCUACGGGAGGCAGCAGUGGGGAAUAUUGGGCAAUGGGCGAAAGCCUGAUCCAGCAAUGCCGCGUGAGUGAUGAAGGCCUUAGGGUUGUAAAGCUCUUUUACCCGAGAUGAUAAUGGCAGUAUCGGGAGAAUAAGCUCCGGCUAACUCCGUG